AUUGGACGCUGGCGGCAUGCCUUACACAUGCAGGUCGAACGGUAACAGGUCUUCGGGUGCUGACGAGUGGCGAACGGGUGAGUAAUACAUCGGAACGUGCCUAGUAGUGGGGGAUAACUACUCGAAAGAGUGGCUAAUACCGCAUGAGAUCUACGGAUGAAAGCAGGGGAUCGCAAGACCUUGUGCUACUAGAGCGGCCGAUGGCAGCUUAGGUAGUUGGUGGGAUAAAAGCUUACCAAGCCGACGAUCUGUAGCUGGUCUGAGAGGACGAUCAGCCACACUGGGACUGGGACACGGCCCAGACUCCUACGGGAGGCAGCAGUGGGGAAUUUUGGACAAUGGGCGCAAGCCUGAUCCAGCAAUGCCGCGUGCAGGAUGAAGGCCUUCGGGUUGUAAACUGCUUUUGUACGGAACGAAAAGCCCUGGGUUAAUACCCUGGGGUCAUGACGGUACCGUAAGAAUAAGCACCGGCUAACUACGUGCCAGCCGCCGCCGUAAAAC
rnacentral:rRNA from 1 species